CAGCCCGGGCAGGGCCGCGACGGAGGCGAUGGCAGCUCGGCCGAGGGCAUCCGCGGUGGGAGCGCGGCUGCGGCGGGCGGGUCCCGGCCGUGCGGGGCGGGGGGAGCCUGCGGUGCCCGCGCCGCGCCGGGAGCGAGACCCCCCCGCAGCCCCCCGGGAAGUUCAGGGGUGCUGCGGGGAUGCUGCAGUGCCCGCGGUGAGCUCACAAUGGCACCGGUGAAGAACCGCUCUGCUAACCGCGCUCGGCUUCACCCUGAGCGUGGCAGUGCCCGGCAGCUGCCCGCAGCAGGUGGAGGAAAAGGGGCUCCAAAAAUCGCCCUGGAAGGAUUUUGGGGCGAGGGGGGGGAAAGAGCCACCUGAGCGCUGUCACCACUGCAGCAGUACUAGUGCAGGAGCUCUUACAGUGGCGGUUCACGUGGCACGAACCCAGGGUGAAAAAUCGAGAAUUAUUGGUAUCAUCCAUUCGCUGGCGACUGCUAGAGGGAGCGCGGAUGUUUCCCUGUGCCUUAUCCAUCCCUCAGAGGGAUCCACUUGUGUGUUUGCCAGGGCUGCAGCAAGCCUGCAGAGCUGCCACCCUGCCCCUGGCAGCCGUGCAGAUGGCUUCAUCCUCACUCAAGUGAAACUGUAGAAUCACAGAGUGAUUUGUGUUGGAAAGGACCUUAAAGAUCGUCUCAUUCCAACACCUUCCACCACACCAGGCUGAUCCAAGCCCCACAGACAGGGAUGCUUUGGAGACCAUGGCCCACCCAGCUGUACCUCCCCACUCCAUCCCUGCAUCCCAAAUCUGCAGGCAGCCGUGCUGAGAGUUGUCACCUGAGCCACCUGUACCUGGACAAGUUCACAGAUGGGUUUGGGAACUGGGCAGGAGCCCCCAUGGCAGUGGGGUGGGAGCCUCACAGGAGCAGGAGUGGUGUGGGAAGCACAGCAAGGAGCCAGGAUGCUGAGCAAGGACUCUUGUUAAAGGGGGAAGUCAGAGAAAAUCAUGACCUGUGAGUAAAGGGGGAGAAACAGCCCAGCACAAUUUGCUAAAACCUCUGGUAUUUGCCUAAAUUCAGGCUUUUGGCACAACAAGCUGAGAAUUUGGGGCAGUUCUUUGAACUUCAGGGUGUCCUUGUGCAGCACUGGCACUGCAGAGCCCUGAUUCAAAAUGCAGUAAAAAGAUAGAAAAGGGCUCCUGCUCUUGAGAGCUGCAGGGGUGGCUCCAGGAGAGGCUGGGCAUGAGGAAAAGCAGGAGCACUUCACCAUCCCCCACACCCAGGGACUGAGGGGAUGGGGCUCUGCAGGAGCUCUCUGGUGUGCAGAGUCCCCAGGCAGCUUUUGGGGACAGAAAUGGGGAAAAUCUGCUGUGUCAGUCUGCUGAAAAACAUCAACAAGAGCAGCCUGGAUCCCCCAAAACCUCAGGUCUGAUCUGGAUGCUGGGCACAACCAGCUCUCCAAGAGUCAAAAGGAAUGAGUCCUUGGCAAGUGGCAUCUAGUCCUUACAUCCAUCUGGAUCAAUCCAUCUGGAUAUUGUAAAACAGAGAAAAUUUAGCAUUUAUUCCAUGAAAUGGUAGAGUGGCUUUUGCAAGGGACAAUUAUUCCUGGCAGGGAGUCUCCAGCAGUGUCUGCAGCCCAAGCUGGGUGCUGGACCAGGGCACUCAGAAUAUCAGUGGACAGGUCUGUUUUCCUUAAUGAAUUCCCAGAGGGCCAACAAACAACCCACAAGGAGAGUAAGUGCAAUUUUUGAAAUUCUCUCUCCAUCAUCUCUACAGCCAUCCCUGAAUGAGAUAAAGCUCUGUAUGUAUAUAAAGCAAAUUAAUUCUAAUCAAGAUAAAUGCCCAGUUUCAUACCUAAUUUGCAUGAGCAUGUGCUGCAAACUGUGUUUGCAAAUGGGAGAAUUAUGGAUGUAACCAGAUAACCUGAGUGUGCAAUCCCAGUACUGUACAUGCAAAACUUACUCAUUGCACUUGAAUAAAAGUAAAGCUUCAGCAAAAGGGAACUUGGCUUUAAAGUACCAGCACAUUAUUUUUAUCAUAAAAAAAUCAGGUUAAAGCUGAUUUGAACCUUCCAAGAACCCAUUUAGCUGCUAAGGCAAAUUCCAAAUGAUGUUUCUUACUCAAUCUAACUUUAAUAAUAGACUGGUUGAGUUGCUGCACUGUCAGAACUGGAAUUUUUAAAAUUUACUGACAAAGAGAAUUUCUACAUUAGCACAUGGUUAUUUAAAAUGUGUCCUAAAGUUGGCUGUGGCCUCAUGGGUAAGUUAAAAACCUCACUCUGAAAACUUUCCUUACUACUUUCAAAUCUCCCUGAAGAGAUCUUGGAAGAUUUUCUCCCUUUCCCAUGCUUCCUCCUAUCCUUACUGGGGAACAGCUGGAUCCAUUAAAAUUGAUUUUGGUUUCUCAGAGCAGAAUUUGAUUUCUCUGAGCUUCCUCCUGGAAGGAGCAGAGAGUGUCCCAGCAAUCCAGCAAUAUCAGCCAGAGGAAAGGCACAAGGAUGGGGCACUCCCAACCCAGCUGGGUUGUGCCAGCUCCCAGCCAGAAAGCCAAGCCUUUGCUGGAAACCUCAAAAUUGGGAUGAAAUGAAACUUUAGGAAAUGAAUUGUGCCUCCAUCCCUUACUCCUUUUAGUUUUAAAUUAAGAAAAAUUUGAAAUUAACAGCUAAUUAAAGACACAAAAUUAGAAACAUAUUAUUUCCCAAAAUUGCUUUGAUGAUAUUUUUUAAAUUUAAUUUUUUUUUUAUUCCAGCUUUUACCAGGAAGUUGACAGCUCUGCAAGGAGUCUGUGUCCCAAAGGGAUGGGAGUCCCUGGCUGUGCAGAUGAGGCAUGAAGAGAUUGGGAAUAUUUCCUAAGGACACAAGGGAAGCCUGAGUCCAUGCCAGAACAAUUCCCAGCUGAAAGAGCUGUGAGCACCACCAGCUUCUUUCAGUACAUCCUCAAAAAUGUGUGAUGGGAAAAAGAUCUCCAAAGAGGGAUUUUUGAUCUGUGCCCCAGGUUUGUUGUGCCCUGGCACGCUGUAGGGCCAGCUUCCAACUGGCCCCUUCCAAAUAUCACCAGAGGCAUCUCUGUGGCUGUUUAUCACCAAGAAAAUCCAGUCCAAGAGACCAGCAGCUUCAGCAGCAGUCCCCAGGAAAAGCUCAGCCUGGCCCACAUUCCACAGUCUCCUCCAGCACAUCUCCACUAAAUAAUUCCCAUCAAAGCUACAGCAGUUGUUAAUAUCUGCUUUUUUCUUUUUCCCCUCUGCAAAGGUGUAGUUAUAACUGCAUUUUACACCCCUCUCACUCAUAAAAUACAGAGCACCAACUCUUUCCUUCCUCAGCUUCCUCAGCAGCAUCUUUAUGCAAACCUUGCUGAUGUGAUGCUGCUGUAGUAACUUAUUAGUUAUUAAAACUAAUAACUUACAAGUUAUUAAAACUUAUAAUUAAGUUAGAGUUACUCACUUAUAAGUUAUUAAAACUGAAUUAAACAGAGCUAAGGAUGGACAGGUUUAAAAUUUGAGUGAAUAUUCUGUUUCCCCCCUUGCCACAUUUCCCCAUCUCUUUUUCUGUGAGGGUAAAAUGGUCUUGGCGACCUUCCUGUGCUGCACAUCCCUGGGGACCAUGAAAACAAACCCAUUAAUGUUUAUAAAGUGUCUCAGACUGGGGGAAUUACAUCACUGUGGCGAGAUACAAGCUUAAUGGAUCAAAACAAACCCCAGCUCCAAACCCCCCAGCUUAGACACAUCUCAGUUACCCGGCACAAACCUCAAGGAAUCCCACUGAGAAGGGAUAAUUGAGAGAAAAAUGUGAUGCCAGAGAUUUUUCUGCAGUAAACCCAUUUUAUGUUAAUAGAAAGCAGAUUUCUAGACCCCUUUGCAAACCAAUGACUUCCACAGCAUAUUUCACAGCUGAGCACAUCCAUGGCACCAGCUUUGGACACGGGGCUGUUAAACCCAACAUUUAUUUAAUGAAUUACAGCAGUCCAUGAAUCUGGGUGUGCUCAGCCUGUGUUUAAAUGUUUAUUGUCAGCAGCCAGCUCUGCAUGAGCAGGUAUCAGCCUCAGUGAUGAGCUCUCACUGCAAUGGACCCAAAACGUUGAACAUGUUUUUGGGUUCUGCUUUCUUACCCAAGACAGAUUACCCAGGAGGUUCAGGGUCUCUGCUAAACAUAAAACCUUUGGGGUUCAGUGCCAGUUUGGGGUGUUUUCUCCUUGGUGAUGAACUGCCGUGCCUCUCCCACCUGCCUGGGGUUCUGAAGGGUGGAUUAAGCCAUUAAAACUCCACAUUCGAGCAAGGUUGAUGUGCUGCAGCCAUCUCCAAGAUGACUCCAGUCUCACCUCACCACUCAAUCUAGAAACCUUGACAAAAAAUUAGCUCUGGUUCGCCCUCCUAUUUUAACACGUUCUCCACUGCCAGCUAUGUGUGAAGUGCUCCCUUUCACGGGAGAUAGAGACAGUGGUGAUGAUGUGCUGUGAUCAUUUUGCUUUCCUGCAAAAUGCCUCUGAUCCAUGGUGGUCUCCACUCCAGAGAUCCCCACCCAGGAGCAGUUUUAGAGUCCUUUGGGCUGGAAGAGACCUUAAGGACCAUCUCAUUCCAGCCCCUGCCAUGGGCAGAGACACCUUCCACUGUCCCAGGCUGCUCCAAGCCCUGUCCAUCCCUGCCUUGGACACUUCCAGGGAUCCAGGGGCAGCCACAGCUUCUCAGUUCCGGGGCCUCACCACCCUCCCAGUUAAGAAUUUCUUCCUCACACCCAGUGUAACCCUGCCCUCUGUCAGUGGGAAGCCAUUCCCCCCUGUGCUGUCAUUUCAGGUGAAGUCUGAAUGAAAUGCCACUUUCCCCUCUUUUCCCCAUCACAAAUCAGGGAGAUUUGGUUGGGCUUUUUCAGAGCUGCCAGGGUGAUCUGGGAGAUCAGGUCCUGCUGAUCCCCCAAGACUUCCCUGGGAAGGUGGGAGUGGGGACUCUGUGGAGACGUUAUCUUUGCAUUUCCCUCCUGUUCUGUGAUGAGCACCAUGUGGGAGCUCCAAUGAAUGGUGAGAAUGUGAAGCACUCAGCAGGAUAAUGUGUGCCGUGAAAAAAAUCCUGUGAUCAAUCAGCAGACAAAUAUAUACUUAAAUGAGGUGUUAGUGGGAGAGAUGCAGGAAAGGUGAUUAUGGGUUUGUCUCCGUGUUUCCCUCAGCAGCAGUGCUGACACGCCAGGGUGGGUCACCCUACCCUGCCAUUAGCGGAGCAUCAGCACUCAUCUGACAGCUCCUUUGUCCCGGCAAGCCGAUUCCUAUGAAGAUUUGGCAUUAGCAGAGGCAAGGUGAAACUCCGAGUUUUUGCAUUCUCAUGACCCUCCAAAUGCUUCAGCCUGAUGGAUCACAGGUAAAAUCACUGUCCUAAUUAGGGCAGGAGGCAGAAAUAAAUAUUUGUACUCAUCUGUUUCAGCUGUGGCAAUAAACACCACGGGCAGAACCAGUGGAAGAGCAGCUCCCUCUGCUCUCUUCCCAGAAAACAGAACUGGGAACAGGGGCCACAGGGCAGGGCACGUGGGAAGGGUCAGCUGGAGCAUCAUGUCACAGUCACGUUUUCUGAAAAAUCCCUUUGCCCAGGAUUUUUCUCCUGGGAAACUGAGAAGCCUCGGAGAAAAAGGAAAACAAUUCUGAUUUCAUUUGCUUCUCCUGUGUUGUGCUCACAUGUGGAAUGUGUUUGGAGAUUGUUCACCCACAGGUGAUUGUUCCAUUGCAUUCUGCUGGGAGUUGUUUUCACUCUUUGGGCAAUCAGGGCCAGGCUGUGUCAGAGCUCUGGAAAGAGUCACAAGUUUUCAUUAUUAUCUUUUUAGCCUUCUGUCUGUAUCCUUUCUGCAUUCUUCAGUAUAGUUUAGUAUAUACAAUAUAGUAUUAUAAAGUAAUAAAUUGUCCUUCUGAGAA